GAUGAAGAACGCAGCGAAAUGCGAUAAGUAAUGUGAAUUGCAGAAUUCAGUGAAUCAUCGAAUCUUUGAACGCACAUUGCGCCCGUCAGUAUUCUGGCGGGCAUGCCUGUUCGAGCGUCAUUACGCCCCUCAAGUCCCCUGUGGACUUGGUGUUGGAGAUCGGCGAGGCUGGUUUUCCAGCACAGCCGUCCCUUAAAUUAAUUGGCGGUCUCGCCGUGGCCCUCCUCUGCGCAGUAGUAAAACACUCGCAACAGGAGCCCGGCGCGGUCCACUGCCGUAAAACCCCCCAACUUUUUAUAGUUGACCUCGAAUCAGGUAGGACUACCCGCUGAACUUAAGCAUAUCAAUAAGCGGAGGA
rnacentral:misc_RNA from 1 species